AAGGAAGAUUCCAGAGCCGAAGUAUAUGUUUCUGCUAAUCUCAGAAAAACUUAGAAAAGAGAUGGGUAGAGCCCAUCCGAGUGUCACCGCCCUCCUCCUCUCUUCAAACUCUCUCCACGCCAGGAAGGAAGCGUGGGGAACCACCCCGUUGCUCCGCACGCUCAGAGCAGGAUCGUUAGCUGAGUCUUCAGGAAUAUUCAAUAUUUUCAAGG